rfam:Gossypium hirsutum cultivar TM-1 chromosome 22, whole genome shotgun sequence
UGUUAAAAGUUUUAAACAUUUUUAUAGUUAAAAAUUAGCAUGGUUGACAAAAUAAUCAGACAAUAAUACAUGGCAUGCCAACGUCAUGUCUACCUCAUUAUGACGUAUAAGGACUAAUUUUUAAUAGAAGAAAUGAAUGGAAUUUUUAACA